UAGGCGCGCCGAGUUUGAUCCUGGCUCAGGACGAACGCUGGCGGCGUGCCUAACACAUGCAAGUCGUACGAGGCGUCGAGGUGCUUGCACUUCGGCACCGAGUGGCGGACGGGUGCGUAACACGUGAGCAACUUGCCCUUCGGUGGGGGAUAGCCGGCCUAACGGCCGGGUAAUACCGCGUACCGCGUCGGAGUCGCCUGGCUCUGGCGUAAAAGCGGCCGCAAGGUCGCGUCGGGGGAGAGGCUCGCGGCCUAUCAGCUUGUUGGUGGGGUAACGGCCUACCAAGGCGACGACGGGUAGCUGGUCUGAGAGGAUGGCCAGCCACAUUGGGACUGAGAUACGGCCCAGACUCCUACGGGAGGCAGCAGUGGGGAAUAUUGCGCAAUGGCCGCAAGGCUGACGCAGCGACGCCGCGUGUGGGAUGAAGGCCCUCGGGUUGUAAACCACUGUCAGGGGGGACGAAUACCCGGCUUCGAUAAGGAGACCGGGGGCGACGGUACCCCCAAAGGAAGC
rnacentral:rRNA from 1 species